ACGUACGGCCAUAUCACGUUGAAAGCACCGGUUCUUGUCCGAUCACCGAAGUUAGGCAACAUCGAGCCUAGUAAGUACUUAGAUGUGUGACCGCUUGGGAAACCUAGAUGCUGUAAGCA
rfam:Octopus bimaculoides Scaffold11978_contig_49, whole genome shotgun sequence.